rnacentral:rRNA from 1 species
UGGGGAAUUUUGCACAAGGGGGGAAACCCUGAUGCAGCGACGCCGCGUGAUUUAGAAGGCCUUAGGGUUGUAAAAAUCUUUUCUAUGGGAAGAAAAUGACAGUACCAUAGGAAUAAGGACCGGCUAAUUACGUGCCAGCAGCCGCGGUAAUACGUAAGGUCCGAGCGUUGUCCGGAAUCAUUGGGCGUAAAGGGUACGUAGGCGGGUAAGCAAGUUAGAAGUGAAAUCCUGUAGCUCAACUACAGUAAGCUUUUAAAACUGCUCAUCUUGAGAUAUGGAAGGGAAAGUGGAAUUCCUAGUGUAGCGGUGAAAUGCGCCGAUAUUAGGUGGAAUACCGGUGGAGAAGGCGCCUUUCUGGCCAUAAUCUGACGCUGAGGUACGAAAGCGUGUGUAGCCAACAGG